rnacentral:rRNA from 1 species
AGUAACGGCGAGUGAAGCGGCAACAGCUCAAAUUUGAAAUCUGGCUCUCGGGCCCGAGUUGUAAUUUGUAGAGGAUACUUUUGAUGCGGUGCCUUCCGAGUUCCCUGGAACGGGACGCCAUAGAGGGUGAGAGCCCCGUCUGGUUG